AUGAGCAGAUAGUCGAAUCUGGAAAAGCAACUGAUGAUGAAGUAUGUAACUACUAAUAGGUUCUUUUUUUCUCUUAAUAAUGCCAUUUUUUCUCUCUUGCUGA
rnacentral:snoRNA from 1 species